GAUGAAGAACGUAGCGAAAUGCGAUACGUAAUGUGAAUUGCAGAAUUCAGUGAAUCAUCGAAUCUUUGAACGCAUAUUGCGCUCUCUGGUAUUCCGGAGAGCAUGCUUGUUUGAGUAUCAGUAAACACCUCAACUUCCAUAUCUUUUUUGAAAUGGGAGUUGGACUUGAGGGAUCCCAACGCUUUUCCUCACCGAAAAGUGGCGGGUUACUUGAAAUGCAGGUGCAGCUGGACUUUUGUCUGAGCUAGAAGCAUAUCUAUUUAGUCUGCCUAAAAAACAGAUUAUUACCUUUGCUGCAGCUAACAUAAAGGAGAUUAGUUCUUGUGCUGACUGAUGCAGGAUUCACAAAGACAGGCUUCGGCCGACUUUGUAAACUCGAUCUCAAAUCAAGUAAGACUACCCGCUGAACUUAAGCAUAUCAAUAAGCGGAGGA
rnacentral:misc_RNA from 1 species